ACAGUUUGCUGGACCUCACAGAGGUGACUGAUGUAGCAUCCACCCGGGAGCCGGGUGAGAUCAUGGACCCCAGCAGCAGCUUCUGAGAUGACCAUGGCUAACAAAUUUUUCCAGCAACACAGAGCUGAGAGGAUUGGGAUCUCGGAGGAGAAGGAGCCCUGCAUUCUUGGCUUCAUCUGCCUGGAGUGGAGUUUCCAUCAUGCUGAGCUGGGGGUGCACGGGGCCAGGGAAGGGGCAAGUCGUAGCUCCAAUGUCCCAGACUCUUACUAUUCUUACUGAAAUUUAGUAGGUUUUCUUGAAUAAAUGUUUCUUCAUCUGCUGUAUGCCCUUAGGACAAUUCCCAGGAACAUACAUCUAUAUUGAUAUCAAUAUAGAUAUAAAUAGAUAAUUAUGUAUGUAUAACUUUUAGCAGUUUUACUUGUUCUGCUGGAGGGAAGGUCUGGAAGUUUUGCAGAGCUGCUCAUGCUACCAUUCCGGAAGUUAUCCACCAGUUCUUUGCUUUUUUCUCAGUAGUAUUCCAUUGCAGGUCUAUGCCACAAUUUGUUUAUCCAUUCACCUGUUGAUGGACAUUUGAGCUGUUUCCUGUUUGAGGCUAUUACAAAUAAAGCUGCUUUACAAA
rnacentral:lncRNA from 1 species